GACGAACGCUGGCGGCGUGCUUAACACAUGCAAGUCGAGCGGUAAGGCCCUUUCGGGGGGUACACGAGCGGCGAACGGGUGAGUAACACGUGGGUGACCUGCCCUCAGCUCUGGGAUAAGCCUGGGAAACUGGGUCUAUACCGGAUAUGACUCCAUGACGCAUGUUGUGGGGUGGAAAGCCUUGUGCGGCUGAGGAUGGGCCCGCGGCCUAUCAGCUUGUGGUGGGGUGAUGGCCUACCAAGGCGACGACGGGUAGCCGGCCUGAGAGGGCGACCGGCCACACUGGGACUGAGACACGGCCCAGACUCCUACGGGAGGCAGCA
rnacentral:rRNA from 1 species